CAAGCUGUGCUCUACCGACAGGAUCCGUAUUCCUUUCUCCUGCUCUCCACUCCAUCGUCUUCCUCGCUACUGAAGCAAGACAUGAUCUAUUAUCCACAUAGUUGACCACUGUAGCAAAACCCUGACUACCACUGAGUUUGCUCCUUUCCUCAUGGAGUGUAGCAGAAACAAGCUGGAUGGAGAGACCUUCGCCUCGGCUCUAUGUGGAAACCAACAGCGGCCAACCGACUUUCCUCAGUGUUCCGGUCCGUGAAACCUAUGGGUGGUCUGUAAGCCAGCCUUCCAGCCCGGACGCGUGGAACACUGCGUCCACCACCAACCCACUAUGUCUACCGCGAUCUAGUGUCAAGCCCAGCUGCAGCGACAGAGACAGUGACUCCGACCGCGAUGAGACUCACACAUCCAACUAGAGGUGAAAUCCCGAAGACUGGGGAAACUCUUCCCGCAACUGAAAAAAGAUCGUGGCCGGCGAUAGAAGUGAAAGAUUGGGAUAGAGCUAGCGAAAUGUUACCACUCUCAAAUAGAAAUAGAUAUGGAUGAAAGGACUGUCCGAUAUACAAAUACAAAUUUCAACCAUGUUUUCAGGAAAUAGGGUAUGUUUUACAUUAAAAAAAAUGACAUACACACUUGUAAAUGUUAAUAUCUUUAAGCAUCAAAUGUCAUUAAUUUAGGCCCAAAAUUAUUUACGUAGAAUGCUUUCUUAGACCCCUUAAUGAAUAUCGUUUUCCCUUAUGUAUGUCAUUGAUAUUAUUGUUUAUUGUCUAGAAUCUUACAGUAAAAGACAGUAUUUUUUAACUUUUGUAAGUCUUUUUUAAAGGCUGGUUGUAGUAUUCACUCAAACCCAGCACAUCAGUGACCAAAAUAUUGAAGGCCUAUCAGACCUGUACAUGUGUUAGAUCUAUGUAUUUUUAACCAUUAAGCUAAUAGUUGUUCAUGCAGAUUUGCACAGGUGAAAGAAUGAAUCACGGAUGGAGGCGUCUUCAAUGUUUAUCCAGCUGUCAUAGUACUUGUCUCUAGAUGUUACAAUCACAGCUCUUGCCAGUGUUGGUUUCAGUGGUUACAAUGUGACCACCUCGG
ensembl:lncRNA